GUUGACCUCGAAUCAGG
rnacentral:rRNA from 3 species